rnacentral:rRNA from 1 species
GUUAGGAAUAUUGGACAAUGGGCGAAAGCCUGAUCCAGCCAUGCCGCGUGAACGAUGAAGGCCUUCGGGUUGUAAAGUUCUUUAGCCGAUGAUUAUAAUGACUGUAGUCGGAAAAUAAGCCCCGGCUAACUUCGUGCCAGCAGCCGCGGUAAUACGAAGGGGGCGAGCGUUAUGCGGAAUCACUGGGCGUAAAGCGUGCGUAGGCGGUUUUGUAAGUUAGGAGUGAAAGCCCAGGGCUCAACCUUGGAAUUGCUCUUAAAACUGCAAGGCUCGAAUCUCGGAGAGGAUAGCGGAAUUUCCAGUGUAGCAGUGAAAUGCGUAGAUAUUGGAAGGAACACCAGUGGCGUAAGCGGCUAUCUGGACGAGUAUUGACGCUGAGGCACGAAAGCGUGGGGAUCAAACAGGAUUAGAAACCCGAGUAGUCC